AAUAGUGGAAACACUGCGGUGCCUGAUCUUAUCAGACCGCAGAAGCUAAGCAAGGCUGGGCCCGGUCAGUAUUGGACAGGAGACCUUCAGGGGAAAUCAGGUCGCUGCAAUCA
rnacentral:rRNA from 1 species